GAAAUCCCUACAGAAUUUCAGCAGCCGGCCAAAAUGAUUUUCUACCAAAUAAAAAAAGGUGACCUUCACUCUUCAAAAUUAUCAAAAGAAGAAUGAGGAACUGUUCCAGAUUAAAGACAUGACAACCAAACAACGUGAUUCUGUACUGGAUCCUUCACUGAGCUGGGGGUAAGGGGAGCUAGAGCAGACAUUGAGACAAUUGAUGGACAUUUGAUUAAAAACUAUGAAUUAGAUAAUAUCAGUAUUAACUUCCCUGGGUUUCCUAAUUGUACUGUGGUUAUAUAAGAGAACAUUCCUAUUCUUCGGUAAAAGGACACCGAGC
rnacentral:lncRNA from 10 species